rnacentral:rRNA from 1 species
UACAGAGGUCUCAAGCGUUUGUUCGGAUUCAUUGGGCGUAAAGGGUGCGUAGGCGGCGCGGUAAGUCGGGUGUGAAAUCUCGGAGCUUAACUCCGAAACUGCAUUCGAUACUGCCGUGCUUGAGGACUGGAGAGGAGACUGGAAUUUACGGUGUAGCGGUGAAAUGCGUAGAUAUCGUAAGGAAGACCAGUGGCGAAGGCGGGUCUC